UACGGGGGGAGCAAGCGUUGUUCGGAUUUACUGGGCGUAAAGGGCGCGUAGGCGGUAGCACAAGUCAGUUGUGAAAUCUCCGGGCUUAACUCGGAAAGGUCAACUGAUACUGUGCGACUAGAGUGCAGAAGGGGCAACUGGAAUUCUCGGUGUAGCGGUGAAAUGCGUAGAUAUCGAGAGGAACACCUGCGGCGAAGGCGGGUUGCUGGGCUGACACUGACGCUGAGGCGCGAAAGCCAGGGGAGCAAACGGG
rnacentral:rRNA from 1 species